rnacentral:lncRNA from 1 species
CUUUAUUUAAAGUGGGGCCUCUUGUUAGAUGGGGAUAAGUUAUACAGAAAUGCAUGUUGACAUGCUUGGUGCUUAAACUCACACAGUCCCCACACCACAGGAAGAAACAGCUGGCCAUAGCCUAACCAUCAGGGCCAAGGGCAAAUUGCAUAACAAAAAGUUUGCCUUUAUUCCCUCCACAUCCAAACUUUGGUGGUCAAGUCUGUGGACAGAUCUGAAGACGGGGUUUCCGCUUCCUGAAGCCCGACACUCUUUGUUCACUGUCUGACCUUUGGAAGGGUGAAGGAGCCCUGCCCAGCAAAGGUGGGCAGCAGAGGUUGACCUGUGGACACCUCCUUCCUGUAGCCCUGGCUCUCUCACUGGGCACUGCCUCUCCCACCCUUGGGCGCGAGUAGAGAGAUGGGCAGGAUCUCUGGCAGGAAAGGGGGUCCAGGCCCUCGACUUCCCUGAGGUUAGAUGGAGGGGCCUCAGAGUGGUUCUUGAAUGCGUCAGCCGCUGCCCAUGUGGGGUUGCUGAGCUCUUUGGAUAGAGCUGGUUGGAAUUGAAAAGUGCUAGAAGUUUAAAUACAGAGUCACUUUAAAAAAUUGAGUACCCCAAACACCUUCAUUAAUAAUUUCAUAUUGCUCACAUAUUUAAGUGAUAAUAUUUUGGAUAUAUUGGGUUAAAGUAUCACCAUCAAUUUCACCUGCUUUCCUUUCAUGAUGCCACCAGACUACUGUAAAUGACACAUGCGGCUCACAUUUUAUUCCUAUCGGACAUUUCUGACUUAGAGGACUCCGUCUUUUUUCAAAUCUCAUGCUGCCUUCUCAAGGGACCAGAGGCCGUGAAGGUUAUGAAAUCUGAAAUUUUAAAAGAAUCGUUAUUAUCUAAUUUCCAAUUUUAAAUAUUACAUAUAUUACUCAUAAAUUGAUAUAACCUUAUGGGCACGGUUAAAUGCCAAUGCCCUGGGCAGCCCCAGGUCCCAGCACAGGGAGUCAGCCCUGCCUUGAAAGGGCUGCAGACAACAGUCAUUCAUUCCGGCAUCAUUCAGCCACACCUGUGAUCGCAUCACCUGUCACUCGGGGGCAAGGGGGCGGGGCCUGGAGCCCUAUCCAAUCAGCGGCACCGUGGUCGAGCCUGUCCAAUCAGGCGCACAGCCGAAAAAGGGGAGCAGUUCCUUCAGCCUGUGCUGGCUUUUUCCUUGGCCAGGUGUGCUUUCCCGCUUGGUGCGCCUCCGCUGCUCUUUCUCCUUCGUUCGGCAGCCUCCUUUGUCCUGUGACCUGCAGAGCCACCAUCACUCAUGUUCUUGAAUGGGAAUGGCCUGAAGAGCCUGAAAAAGGAGCGUGAAAGAGGAAGGAGGAGGCUGAGCCACCCUGGGAACAUAGGCUGGAUAAGUCCAAGCCAGGAGAUGACACCACUAAAUAGAAGUCACCACUCAGGAUUCCGGCUUUUCUGUGAAGAUCCUGGCCCCGAGAUCUAGCUCUUCUCCCUGCAGGUAUGAUGGAGGAGUGGAGCUGGUGAUCAGGCCUGAGCCUGCUGGGGAGGAUGAGGCUGGAAAGCCCAGCUUUGCCUUAGCUCCUCCUGACCCCGUGCUAACAUGGUGGACCUGGGAAUGGAGUCCAGGUUCAGUUACUGCCUUAUUGCUAGAGGACAGCUACCAACUGGGCCUACUAGCCCUGUUCAGGGAGAGGAGUGGGAGCGGGUGGGUAGUGUCAGGUCCCAGGACACCCUAGACUCUUGCUCUGUGCCCUCAGGCAAGUCACCUCUCUCUGGACCAAGACCUUACCAUCUGUCACCAGGGCCUGGGGGGUGGUAUUGGGUGUUCUCCAAGGACAGAGCCAACCAGAGGACUUGCAGGCUGGUAACUUGGUGGGCAGCCAGACAAGGCCCUCUCAUGUCCUCUCUGCUCCCAGGCUUGGGCCCUGGAGCACCCCUUCAGGAAGGAAAAGGCCAUUUCCCCUAGCGUGCUCGGCCCUUGGCACUAGGCAAGGGCAAGAGCAAGCCUGUCUUUCUCCCUCCCCGCUUUCUUCCAACUCCCUCUCCUCUGCUCGGGGGUUGCUCUUAGGCUGCAGGAAGAGUCAGUGGGGCCAGGCUCUGUCCUGCACUUGGGCACACAGGUGCCAAUGGGCAGGCUGUAUAUGGACAGAGCCUGGAAUGUAAAAGCCAAAAAGUGGG